ACCUCGGAUCAGGUAGGAAUACCCGCUGAACUUAAGCAUAUCAAUAAGCGGAGGAAAAGAAACCAACAGGGAUUGCCCCAGUAACGGCGAGUGAAGCGGCAACAGCUCAAAUUUGAAAUCUGGCCCCCCGGGGCCCGAGUUGUAAUUUGGAGAGGAUGCUUUUGGCGAGGCGCCGCCCGAGUUCCCUGGAACGGGACGCCGCAGAGGGUGAGAGCCCCGUCUGGCUGGCCGCCGAGCCUCUGUAAAGCUCCUUCGACGAGUCGAGUAGUUUGGGAAUGCUGCUCAAAAUGGGAGGUAUAUGUCUUCUAAAGCUAAAUACCGGCCAGAGACCGAUAGCGCACAAGUAGAGUGAUCGAAAGAUGAAAAGCACUUUGAAAAGAGGGUUAAACAGUACGUGAAAUUGUUGAAAGGGAAGCGCUCGUGACCAGACUUGGGCCUGGCGGAUCAUCCGGCGUUCUCGCCGGUGCACUUCGCCCGGCCCAGGCCAGCAUCAGUUCGCCCCGGGGGACAAAGGCGGCGGGAAUGUGGCUCCCCCGGGAGUGUUAUAGCCCGCCGCGCAAUGCCCUGGGGCGGACUGAGGUUCGCGCGU
rnacentral:rRNA from 1 species